rnacentral:rRNA from 1 species
AGCGGCGGACGGGUGAGUAACGCGUGGGUAACCUGCCUCAUACAGGGGGAUAACAGUUGGAAACGGCUGCUAAUACCGCAUAAGCGCACAGUACCGCAUGGUACGGUGUGAAAAACUCCGGUGGUAUGAGAUGGACCCGCGUCUGAUUAGGUAGUUGGUGGGGUAACGGCCUACCAAGCCGACGAUCAGCAGCCGACCUGAGAGGGUGACCGGCCACAUUGGGACUGAGACACGGCCCAA